CAGCCGCCACGGUAAUACGGAGGGGGCUAGCGUUGUUCGGAAUUACUGGGCGUAAAGCGCACGUAGGCGGCUUGGUAAGUUAGAGGUGAAAGCCCGGAGCUCAACUCCGGAAUUGCCUUUAAGACUGCCGAGCUAGCAGGUGAGAGAGGUAAGUGGAAUUCCGAGUGUAGAGGUGAAAUUCGUAGAUAUUCGGAAGAACACCAGUGGCGAAGGCGGCUUACUGGCUCAUACUGGACGCUGAGGUGCGAAAGCGUGGGGAGCAAACAGGAUUAGAGACCCCCGUAGUCCCUGUCUCUUAUAC
rnacentral:rRNA from 1 species